GCUUAACACAUGCAAGUCGAGCGAGAAUCGUUUAAUGAAGGCUUCGGCUGGAAAUAGAAGAGGAAAGCGGCGAACGGGUGAGUAACGCGUGGGCAACCUGGCCUUAAGAAAAGGAUAGCCCCCGGAAACGAGGAGUAAUACUUUAUGAGAAUGAAAGAGGGCAUCCUACUUUCAUUCAAAGCGCAAGCGCUUAAGGAUGGGCCCGCGUAUCAUUAGCUAGUUGGUGAGAUAACAGCCCACCAAGGCAACGAUGAUUAGCCGGUCUGAGAGGGCGAACGGCCACAUUGGAACUGAGAGACGGUCCAAACUCCUACGGGAGGCAGCAGUGGGGAAUAUUGCGCAAUGGAGAAGAACUCUGACGCAGCAAUACCGCGUGAGCGAAGAAGGUCUUCGGAUCGUAAAGCUCUGUUAUCAGGGAAGAAGAAAAUGACGGUACCUGAUGAGCAAGUCCCGGCUAACUACGUGCCAGCAGCCGCCGUAA
rnacentral:rRNA from 1 species